UUACCAUGGUGAGGGCACCUUCUCAAUAUAUCCUUGUAUCUCUCUCAUGGAUCAUAGAGUGUCUCUAGAUCCAUCUGCACAAAAGAAGAGAUAUCAUUCCUCAAUUU
rnacentral:snoRNA from 1 species